rnacentral:rRNA from 1 species
AACGAACGCUGGCGGCAUGCCUAACACAUGCAAGUCGAACGAGACCUUCGGGUCUAGUGGCGCACGGGUGCGUAACGCGUGGGAACCUGCCCUUAGGUUCGGAAUAACUCCCCGAAAGGGGUGCUAAUACCGGAUAAUGUCUUCGGACCAAAGAUUUAUCGCCUUUGGAUGGGCCCGCGUUGGAUUAGCUAGUUGGUAGGGUAAAAGCCUACCAAGGCGACGAUCCAUAGCUGGUCUGAGAGGAUGAUCAGCCACACUGGGACUGAGACACGGCCCAGACUCCUACGGGAGGCAGCAGUGGGGAAUAUUGGACAAUGGGCGAAAGCCUGAUCCAGCAAUGCCGCGUGAGUGAUGAAGGCCUUAGGGUUGUAAAGCUCUUUUACCCGGGAUGAUAAUGACAGUACCGAGAGAAUAAGCUCCGGCUAACUCCGCG